rnacentral:tRNA from 1 species
GGUGCUGUGGCUUAGUGGUUAAAGCGUGUCUUGUAAACAGGAAAUCCUGGGUUCAAAUCCCAGCAGUGCCU